rnacentral:rRNA from 1 species
AUACGUAGGUGACAAGCGUUAUCCGGAUUUACUGGGCGUAAAGGGCGUGUAGGCGGUCUUGCAAGUCAGAAGUGAAAUUCCUGAGCUCAACUCGGGCGCUGCUUCUGAAACUGCAGGACUUGAGUGCUGGAGGGGAUAGCGGAAUUCCUAGUGGAGCGGUAAAAUGCGCAGAUAUUAGGAAGAACACCGGUGGCGAAGGCGGCUAUCUGGACAGAACCUGCCGCUGAGGCGCGAAAGCGUGGGGAGCAAACAGGAUUAGAGCCCCUGGUGGUCCACGCCGUAAACGAUGAAUACUAGGUGUAGGGGGUAUCGACUCCCUCUGUGCCGCAGUUAACACAAUAAGUAUUCCGCCUGGGGAGUACGGCCGCAAGGUUGAAACUCAAAGGAAUUGACGGGG